rnacentral:rRNA from 1 species
GCCUACGGGGGGCAGCAGUAGGGAAUCUUCCACAAUGGGCGAAAGCCUGAUGGAGCAACGCCGCGUGGGUGAAGAAGGUCUUCGGAUCGUAAAACCCUGUUGUUAGAGAAGAAAGUGCGUGAGAGUAACUGUUCACGUUUCGACGGUAUCUAACCAGAAAGCCACGACUAACUACGUGCCAGCAGCCGCGGUAAUACGUAGGUGGCAAGCGUUAUCCGGAUUUAUUGGGCGUAAAGGGAACGCAGGCGGUCUUUUAAGUCUGAUGUGAAAGCCUUCGGCUUAACCGGAGUAGUGCAUUGGAAACU